UUUAGAGUGGUAGAAAGUGGCUUUAGCAGCAGAGACCGAAGAGGAAAAUGUAGAGGGGAGGGAGUGAAAGGAUGCCAGGUCCGCAGGGAGGCGAGUUUUCCUCCAUUUCCGCUCGGCUGCCCGGAGCCCUGUUCUGUGAGCUCGCAAGGAGUCGUCGAGCCACGGAGCGGGAGGGGAGGACCGAGCCGGCCUGGAGGAUAGGGGACAUAGAGAGUCAAAGGAUGCAGAAAGGGAGGAGAGGAGGGUUGAGGAGGCAGAAUCAGGAGAUAGGUUGGAGAAGGUUUGAGCAGAGGGAAGAGAUGAUAGGAUGGAAGAGGAGAGAGUAGCGGGGGAGAGAGAGCGAAGGUUGGGACGGCGCGAUACCAUCCGAGUAGGGGCAGUGUGGGAAGUGUUGGAUGAGAGCGAGAGGGAAAAGGAUACAAGGUAGUGGUCGGAGACUUGGAGGGGAGUUGCAAUGAGGUUAGUGGAAGAACAGCAUCUAGUAAAUUUGAGGUCGAGCGUAUUGCCUGCCUUGUGAGUAGGGGGGGAAGGUGAGAGGGUGAGGUCAAAAGAGGAGAGGAGUGGAAAGAAGGAGGCAGAGAGGAAUGAGUCAAAGGUAGACGUGGGGAGGUUAAAGUCGCCCAGAACUGUGAGAGGUGAGCCGUCCUCAGGAAAGGAGCUUAUCAAGGCAUCAAGCUCAUUGAUGAACUCUCCGAGGGAACCUGGAGGGCGAUAAAUGAUAAGGAUGUUAAGCUUGAAAGGGCUGGUAACUGUGACAGCAUGGAAUUCAAAGGAGGCGAUAGACAGAUGGGUAAGGGGAGAAAGAGAGAAUGACCACUUGGGAGAGAUGAGGAUCCCGGUGCCACCACCCCGCUGACCAGAAGCUCUCGGGGUGUGCGAGAACACGUGGGCGGACGAAGAGAGAGCAGUAGGAGUAGCGGUGUUGUCUGUGGUGAUCCAUGUUUCCGUCAGUGCCAAGAAGUCGAGGGACUGGAGGGAGGCAUAGGCUGAGAUGAACUCUGCCUUGUUGGCCGCAGAUCGGCAGUUCCAGAGGCUACUGGAGACCUGGAACUCCACGUGGGUCGUGCGCGCUGGGACCACCAGAUUAGGGUGGCCGCGGCCAUGCGGUGUGGAGCGUUUGUAUGGUCUGUGCAGAGAGGAGAGAACAGGGAUAGACAGACACAUAGUUGACAGGCUACAGAAGAGGCUACGCUAAUGCAAAGGAGAUUGGAAUGACAAGUGGACUACACGUCUCCAAUGUUCAGAAAGUUAAGCUUACGUAGCAAGAAUCUUAUUGACUAAAAUGAUUAAAAUGAUACAGUACUGCUGAAGUAGGCUAGCUGGCAGUGGCUGCGUUGUUGACUUUGUAGGCUAGCUGGCAGUGGCUGCGUUGUUGACACUACACUAAUCAAGUCGUUCCGUUGAGUGUGAUAGUUUCUACAGUGCUGCUAUUCGGGGGCUAGCUGGCUAGCUAGCAGUGUUGAUUACGUUACGUUGCGUUAAAAGAACGACAAUAGCUGGCUAGCUAACCUAGAAAAUCGCUCUAGACUACACAAUUAUCUUUGAUACAAAGACGGCUAUGUAGCUAGCUAUGUAGCUAGCUACGAUCAAACAAAUCAAACCGUUGUACUGUAAUGAAAUGAAAUGAAAAUGUGAUACUACCUGUGGAGCGAAGCGGAAUGCGACCGGGUUGUUGAGUGAGGAAGUUCUAUUCGGUAGACGUUGGCUAGCUAUUUUAGCACUUGGCAACGCAGAUGCUCGUUGACACGCGUGAGCAGUGUGGGUGCAAUAAUUGAAUAAUAUAGAUAUCUACAUUUAUUUUGCAAUGAUCGCGCACGCGAUGCCAACAGUGUAUAGUCAGGGUAUAACGCUUCGAACACACCGACAGCAUAAUUGCAUUUUGGUACACCAGAAGGACAUUAAUUUCCAAUGAAACACUGCGUUUGCCUUGCAGCAUUGCGUUGCAGAGGCAGUCCGUUCGGUGUGGUGCAUACAUCAAACAUGCGUAGACGGCUUGACAGAAAUGGUAGCAGAAUGUGGAAUGUGGAACUUCUGUUGCAUACAUAUCCAGAUGAUGCUUCAUACUAUUUUGCACAAUUACGCUGUCGGUGUGUUAGAAGCGUAAUGAUGAUUAUGCAGUUGUGGUACACAGAUACUAUACUAUCCCUAAUUUCUGGCACAAGGAGCUCAGAGAAAUAUGGUACUUAUCACUGUCUUUUUGUAUCUCCUCCUGGGCAGUAUCCUACCAUGUACAGUGACAAGGAGCAGGUGUUCAACUGCAUCCAGAGGGCCAACCAGAACACACUAGAGGUGUAACCUCAGUGACUUGUGUUCCAGAUCAUUGCAGCUCUUGUCUAUCCAGUACAUAUCCACAUUAACCAACAUUACCAGAGGGCGGAGACAGUUCAGGUGCAUCAAAGCUGGGAUGGAGAGACUGAAAAACAACUUCUAUUUCCAGGCCAUCAGACGUGUUAAGUAGCCUCCGCCCAGUACCUUAUCCUUUACUUAGAUUUGUGUGAAUUAGGUUGUUGUGGAAUUAUUAGAUUACUUGUUAGAUAUUGCUGCUCUGUCGGAACUAGAAGCACAAGCAUUUCGCUACACUCGCAAUAACAUCUGCUAACCAUGUGUACUGUAUGUGACCAAUAACAUUUUAUUUGGUACCAGCUGGCUUCCACCUGGUACUCUACCCUGCACCUUAGGAACUGCUGCCCUAUCUACAUAGUCAUUGAACACUGGUCACUUUAAUAAAAUGUACAUACUGUUUUACCCACACCUUUUUCAUUCAUAUAAUGUCUAUACACAUAAGUAAGCAAUGUGGGAGUACCAUGCCAUGUUCUCUGGAUGAUAAUUGACAGCCCUGUCUGUUGCAUUGAUCUGUCUUCUUUACACACCCAACAGCACAUAUCAAUAAGGGCCACAUCUCACUGGCGUUGCAACAAAAUGAUUCAGCAUCUUCUCAAUUUGACAGUUUAUUGACUAUAGCUCUCUGUCCUACUUCCCUCACUCUGUUUCCCCUUUCGUCUGUUACCCAAUCACUCAUCCCUCCUCCACCUAUGACUUCUGCAGCUGUGCUGGGAGCAAUCUAGGUCACCAGCAGGUUCUCCUGUGCCUGGAGUUACUACACUGGAGAUAAAGACAAUUUUUUGCAAUGAGAUUGCACAUCAUGACACCAACACCUCCCUUUGUUUAUUACUUUUGAGACUGUUUCUGAGUCACAGGGCAUGAGUGAAAAUGGUUGGACUCCCAAGGCCCUCCUACAGUUGAUAUGCUUUUUAGCAACUUAAGUAUCAGCCAUAUCUGAAUUCUAUUGUUAUUGUAAACAAUGGUAUACCAUUAUGGAAAGUACUACAGCUGUAUUUUAUGAAAAUGUCAUGCAAAAAGUUAUGAUUAUCAGGCAUUUGUUUUAACCUUCCAUUCCUAUGUAUUGACCACAUGUUAAUAAAGAUGAAUGUAAACAUUGUCAGAAACGUUA